GAAAUGUGAGAACUCUACAAAGAACUUGGCUAGGAUUUCAUUUUGUAAAGAAGGACAUUCCUGCAUGGAUAGAACUGGAUAGAAGCAGCUCGGAUCAGCCAAGUUGGCUUUUGCUCAUUAAUUAACAGAUGCCCCCGAGUGAUAGUUCACAGUAUUGCAUACAGAAGUGAAGUAUGUUCCAAAAAGGAAUGAACUGCAUAAUGAGGUCUAUGAUAGUCGCCAGAGGCAAACACGCAGUCUUACAGAGCCAGAGCGAAGGGAAAAGAUGGAUUUUCUUCAAAAGACGGAUGCUACAGAGGAGAGAAACAUGGCCUCCUUGAGCGGAUCCAGAAAUGUUAUUCCCCCAGGAAGGACCAGACGUUCUAGUCUGGCUGUAGAAAAGAUCCACCAGAUAAGCAUGUACCCACAGCAGUGGGCCAAAGUAAGUGUUCUGCUUCCUGCUUUCACAACUGUCUCUGCAAAGAACUGGAUAUCAGAAGGAAAGGCUUUCUUUCCGUCCCCUUGGGGAUGCUGCAUUCAGCCAGUACACCAUGAGCAGCAUUGCUUUUUCCAACAAGGCAAGUGACCUUGCCUUUAUCUCGAUGAGCAAACAAAGGAAUAUUUAAAAAACAAUUAAAUUGCAAGCAUUUUUUCAGGAGCUGUGGCUUUUCCUUGAUGAACACACAAUAGUAAAACUUAUUCGAUUGACGUCUGCAAGUUGUAAUCUCCAAAUAACCAUCGCUUACAUAAAGAAACCAGGAGUAACUGAAUCCGGCCAUUCUCGGCAGUGGUCCAUUUACUCAAGCACCUGUUGCUGAGAGCAGUGUAUAUCACAGACUGCAACAGUUUGGGUUCAUUGCUUUUAAGAUGUGUCCUGUGCUGCCAAAUUUCAAGAUUGGACAAUACUCAGAAUCUCUCUUCAGUGUAUACCUCUUAAAAAACGGUAAUUGUGUUCAUAACAUUUUAUCAUUAUACAAUUGUGCCUCUACCUUUUCUAUAUGAAGGAAGCAUAAAAAACAAAUAUGAUUAAAGUAAAGUCUGCUCCAUUGCUCAGGUGCAAAAUAGGCUUUUCUGAAAUGACUGGGAACAGUAACUAGUGCUAUAAAUUUAAACAUAUACAUAAGUAGGAAAUUUCCAACAAAAUCCAGCAUGGUCAAUCAAUCACAUUAUUUAUAUUUCACUUUUCCCCUCAAAGAUUGGGACUUAAAUUUGUUUAUCCUCAUUUAGUUUAUUACUAUUGAUAGACACCAAUUUAGACCCAAAACAGCUGUGAUGGAUCGAAGUGGAAAGGAGAGAUAGAGUUGGAGAUCAUUGAUGUAUUAGUGGCACUAAGUCUUAAAACUCUAGAAACUUCAUUCCAGUAGUUCCAUGUAUAUUUCAAAGGGAGAACCCUCUGGGGGCUCACAAGCCAAUAACCAAGGAGUCAAUGGAAAUCCCUUACUACCAUUUUCUGUGUCUAGUGCUAUAGGUAAGAGUAAAGUCACUAAAACAAUUAUUUCGAGCCUCAUCCAAGCAAGAUUACCCAGAAGGAUACUAUCUUUGAGACCGCAUCUCCUUCUAUGAACCAGCAUGGGCUUUAAGAUCUACCAGGGAGUUCCUCCUCUUGGUUCCACCUCCAUCUCAAAUGCGGCUGGUGGGGACGAGAGAGAGGACCUCUCAGUGGUGCCCCCCCCCCCCCCAGCUUUGGAAUACCUUCCUUUGGAAUGCCUUCAAACCUCCUGCACACAAUAAAAGACCUGGCUUUUCGACAAGCCUUCAAUCAUGUUUAGACUCUCUAACACAUAUAGGGACCUUUAGGUUCUUUAUUUGCACUUUACAAUUCUGAGACUGAAUAUUGAAGAUUGAAUAUCUACAGCAAUUGCUAUAUUUUCAUGUCUUUACCAGGAGGUUACUGUGAAUUUAUGAUUAUGUGUUUGACUGUAUAUUGUCUAUGUUUGUUUUGCACUUGUUGUAUUGUGUAUGUUGCGGGAUAUAAAUGAAGUUGUUGUUGUUGUUGUUAUAGUCAGUCCUGGACACAUACAUCCCCAUCCAGUUUUCAGUGAAGGUCAUCCAAUGGAGCAACCAAAGGCGUUUCUGUAUCACAACUAAACCUGAAACCAGAUCAAAUUGCAUCUGAAUAAUCUGCCUUAUUCAAGAAACCCUGGAGGUGACAAACCAUCAUAGACUCCAGUACCUCACCAGAAAUGGAAUAUUGGAAACUGGCCAGUAAUUAUCCUGUAGAGUUAAAAUUCCUCAACUAGUACAGUUCAAGCGUAAUGUUGCAAAGUGUUUGCCUCUGGCCUGAUCCAGCAGGACUCUUAUGUACAAAUCUAAUUCCACCAUCCAAAUUUCAACAUGCAAUCAGUGUUACAGAAAACAAAAAAGUCUUAUUCAUUUCAACUGAUUAACGUCAAUAAAGCCUUUAAGGAACAUAUUUCUUGAAGUCAAACCCAGCUCUAGCCAAAUGUAGAACAACACAUUCCCUUGGCAUUUGUAUCCAGCUGCACCCUGCCAAAACUCAGUUUGGUAUCAUGAUAAAAUCGUAAGAUUUCUAAUCUCUUGCCGGACUCUCAACAUUCAUCCCUCACUGGCUGGCCGCUAGCAAAGCUUCCUGUAUUUUUUAUUUUUGGCAGAUCCAACUCUUUUAUGUUUUUGCCAGGGGUGAUAGUAUUUAUAUGUAUUUGCCAUUGCUUUUACAAUCGUAUUUUCUGGUGCAACCAAAAAUCUAAUUGAAACAAGCACAGUCCUGUUUGACCCUAAGAACAAGAGGACAAGUGUGUUGAAACUAAGGAUGUUAAUUAGGUCUUUGCAAGUCACUAAACACCCUUUUUUAAAAGUUGCAGCUGUGAUAUGAUCAAACUGAUUAAAACUUUCCUGUUUACAGACUCAGUGGCACCUGGAUUUCAGAAGCUGAAAUGCUAGAUUCCUGCGUAGUGCAGGAAUUUUAAGACAUAAAGAAUGUAAAAAAGGAAACCCAACUCCAUCCUCAAAUCUUAAAGACCAAUCAAGUUAUCAUAACAUUUUAUGGUGAUACAGUUCCAGCUUGUAGAUCCUCCGACUGUCACAACAAUUCUUAGGACUGCUGCUCCUAGACUGGUGAUAAGGAAAACUCAAUGAGGCAGAAUAUCACCAAUGUACAAUAAAUGACUAAUAUCUUCAGCAAUUAUACAUUCUAAUCAGAAACCGAUCUAUUAAUUUCAGGAUGGCAAUGAAUAUUAAACUUAUAUGCAUAUCCUAAUAUCAGUGUUGAGAGCUUUGAGGGAAGAUCAAACCAGGCGUUUGGGGAGUAGCGCAAUACGGAAUCGGCAUAAUGUAGCAGCAUGAAUUAUGACUUCAGGACUGGGUGUCAUGUUUUUAAUAGUUUUAAUUGUAUUUACCUGUUUUAUUGCUAAUAUGUUGUAUUAUAUUGUAUAUUUGUAUUGAAUUUGUAGUAUUGAAUAUUGCCAAACUGUUAGCCACUCUGAGUCCCCUUUAGGUUGAGAUAGAGUGAGAUAGAAAUAUAUUAAAUAAACAAACAAAUAAACAAGAGGAAUCUCUCAACCCAAACCAUAUAUUGCUUUCACUAAGGGUUGAUCUACAUAUCCUGUAGAAUUAAUUAAGCAUAAUACCACUUUUAACUGCCAUGGCUCGAUGCUUUGGACUCCUGGGGGUUGUAGAUGGGUGAGGCAUCACUACUCUUUGCAAAGAAGGCUAAAAAGUUUGUAAAACUACAACUUUAAUAAUUCUGUAGCAUUGAGACAUGGCAGUUAAAAAAGAGACAAAAUAACUUGUGCUUUUGUUCUAACAGAAACAACAGAAAUCAGUGACUUGUGGUGUCAGAUUUUCAUCAUGUUUUAAUUAUAAAAUACUGCAUAAUUUAAUCUCAUAUAGCAUUUUAUGUCAAUAUUUGCACAACAGCACGGGGAAGAGAUGCAAAUAAUGCUUCAUUCAGUGUGCUGCAGGGUACGUGUGUCAAAGGCUACCCUGCUCCCUUUUCAACUCCCCAGUCCUCAUGUUUCUCUUUCCCAUGUUUACUCAAGGCUUACUCCUCUGUAGGCAUUUAUUCUUGGCUAAACACCACAACACUGUCAUCAUGUUGUCAAUCCUCAGAGAAUCAGGGCAAGCUAUAUUAUACAAAAAGCUUCCUCCACUGCCAACAAUGCUGACAUGGUUAUUGAUGUGUCUUGACCGUGAAACAAUGACUGCUAUUACUAGUGAUGCAAUUCAAUUUUGAGUCAGGUCACAAGCAGUUUCCUUGGUAUGGGGUGGGGGGUGGAGGUGGUAAUCAAUUUUGCUCGAGUGAAAUACUGCUUCAUUUUUUCUCACAUGAAAAUGGUUUAUCUUGCAAGAUUGUAAGACUAAUUCUUUGUGGGUCAGAUUCUAGACUAAUUCUCAGAACCUAUCUAGUUCUUCCCAAUGGAUGGAGUAAGUUAAAAAGAGAGAGAGAGACUUACAAAAUUAUGACAUAUACCAUUUAACUUAUUCUUGGCAUCUUGCUAGAAAAGGAAGCAGAUCAAUAUCACAUUCUCUAAGCAUCCAAAUAUAUUCUGCCUUCAGUUGUGCCUAUAUAAACAAUAAAAAAUAAUAAUUGUUUCCUUCAGUGUGCACAGACAAGCACAAUCUUUGGCUGCACUGCACAUCUUAUCAAUACACAUAAUCCAUGCCAAAGACAGUGUCAGUAACUAAGUAGUUAUGGUGCCAAAUUACCCCAGGUUCCAUAAUUCCUCCUUAAAUAGGUGUACACUGUUGCAAUUUUAGUCCACUUUUUUGUGUCAGGAGCAACUUGAGAAACUGCAAGUCGCUUGUGGUGUGAGAGAAUUGGCUGUCUGCAUGGACGUUGCUCGCGGGAUGCCUGGUUGUUUUGAUGUUUUACCAUCCUUGUGGGAGGCUUCUCUCAUGUCCCCGCAUGAAGCUGGAGCUGACAGAGCAAACUCAUCCAUGCUCAUCCCCAGGCAGGAUCCGAACCAGCAACCAUCAGGUCAGCAACCCAACCUUCAAGUCAGCAGUCUGCUGGCACAAGAG
rnacentral:lncRNA from 11 species